UUUCCGUAGGUGAACCUGCGGAAGGAUCAUUAAUGAGUUGUCAUGGGGUUCGAUGCUGGCAGCCAAUAUUUGGAUGCAUGUGCUUGCCCUAACAAUCAUCUUCCAAACACCUGUGCACAUUUUUGAGGGAGUCUUGAGUUGGUUGCCGCUCUUGGGUGAUUUUCUCACAUUCCCUUAAAUCAUUAUACGCUAUUAACAAUGUUGAACGUGCUCUGUGCCGCAAGGCUAUUAAUAUAAUACAACUUUUAACAACGGAUCUCUUGGCUCUC
rnacentral:misc_RNA from 1 species